rnacentral:misc_RNA from 1 species
AAAAAAUUCCUGUGAUCCAACACAGGAAACCUAUUUUUAAUAAGAGAGAACCAAUGACUGAAAUAGCUAUAGAGGUUUUUAAACAAAAAAUACGAAAAGUGGUUACAAUGGAUCCAAAUUUUGGGUGGCGAGGCGACUUACGAUGUCACCUCUGUAAAACAACUUUUCCCUAUAUGUACUGUAACAUUUUUCACUUACAACUCUGUAACGCCUAUGUUUAGGAACAUAUAUCGGAUGAUUUACAGUUAAAAAAAACCACACAGCUGUGUCAUUCAAAAAGCGAGGAUCCAUCGACAAAGAACAGAUUUGCAAACAGAUGGUUUUCUUAAGGCUACAUCUAUUGCAAAAGAUCAAGAGGGUAGAUCUUCUUCAGAUAGGACAUUCAUAAAUACGUAUCACAUUAAAUAUAAGCACUGAAUAUGGAGAUUCUAAUAGAUUAUCCGUAUCAGUCCUGUAGAUAGAUAUCAGCUCACCAGAAUCCAUAUCGGUCCUGAGGGCUGGUAUGGGUAUUAUAAAGAAAGCUGUAUGUGAAAAUAAAAACGUAUUUAUUAUUGAAUAUUUCAAACAACUGCUUAUUACACGGAACUCAAGUAAUCGUGAAGGAUACCGAAAUUCAGACAGUUUUCGCACUACAAGGCUGGAAAGCCUGCGGUGUCUGUUACACCAUUGUAGUUCUGGCCAAUGAUGACGAAAAGCAAGUGAAAUUUGUGCGUUACUCUGAUUCAAACGAGAAACAGAGCAUCUAAUUCCACGACAGUAGAGAUACUUUUUUUAUCUAAUUUAUCUGUGUUUUUAAAUUUAAUGUUAUCUCAAAAUAAAAACUUUAAAAUAUAUGUGUGGCUGACAGGGACGCAAGUGCAGUGAUUAAAGUUGAUUAGGCCGGACAACUACGAUUUCGUUACACAAGGUUUCACUAUAUCACCGAGAAAUUAUUCAGACUGUAUGGAAUCAUCACUUACAGAGAAUGUCGAGUACUCUUAUUUUAACAACCUAUAUAUCUAGAUCCUUAACGGAGUUCAAACUUCAAUUCCAAGUUCAAGUCCCGAGAUGGAGCUCCAAUAAGGUGAAUUUCUCUGUAUAUAUUUAACUCAAGACAUGACGGCUAUGAAGAAAUUACCUGACUCACUAUAUCAUCUUGUUUCGUUGAAUUCAGAAAAUCUUAAGAUGAAAGUUGAAAGUUGUUUAUCUAAUUUUAUUUUAUUGGAAUCUAACCAUUUGAGAAAGAUAAUCUUAACUUUGUAAUUGUUGUUUAAAAACACAGUACAAAUGGAUGUACUUUAAAUGAUUUAGGUGUCAUUGAUGUCUGAUAUACAUCACUGAGGUUUAAGAUCUAUAGGGAGCAUCCAAUGAAUAUGAAGAACGCAUGUAUUGUCAAUAUACAAUGACCUCAUCAAGACCACGUGUAUGUCCAAAAACAUUUGAAUAGGAUAUAUGAUUCUAAGCCCCAGAAUAUAUAUUAGAAAUUUUAUUCAAGCACAACAGUACACUAAUACUCUAAAAAAUGACAGACUAAUUUAGUAGUUUGUUACAUAACAUUUAUUGGAGUUUGAAGAGAGCCCUUUUGUGACUAAAAGUAAAUCAGGUAUAGUAAAUAUUAUCAAAAUUGUACGUAUUGCUUUUAUUGUCUUCAUGAUUUUAGAAUACUAUAUUCAAUAUUUAAAUAUAUUGCUGUAUAGAUUAUUGGCUUUACGAACAUUAUUCAUAUAAAAAAAGUCAUUUCUUUUGAUUAUGUAUUCAUGCAUGUAAGAUAGAUAUCAUUCCAGUAAUCGGAUCAUUUGUUCACUUCUGUAACAGAUUCUUUACUGGUUAACGUUGUGUCGAGGUUAUUUCUCUUAAGAAACAAAGAUAUACACAAGCCUUGUAAUGAGACCAUAAUGACAAUGACAAUUAACCUUGAUCCAACUAAACAAGAUAUCAAAACUAGUGUCAAGUUUGAUUUGAUAUCUUUCAUAAACUUCUGGACAUCUUCAUGGAUUAACUCUUAGUAAAAAUACCGAUUUAACUACAAGACAUUGAGAAAUUCUUAUCUUUUUGAGCAUUGAGGAAACUUCCAGUUUGUAUCGGCUACAUCUAGUGGUUUGGAAGUAUUACUUCAAAUUGAUUGUUACUUUCCUGAAAUGAUUUUAAUUAUAGAAAACCAUAGUUUAAAAAACAUUUAACCGUAAUUUUUCUUUUUAAAAUAAUUCAUUAGUGAUGUUUAUUGAUUUUAAUAUUACUUUGUUUUUAUCUCGACAAAUGAAAACUUUUUUUUACAUAGUCAGAGAUUUAUCAGAUGUUUAUGAAUCUUAUGUUAAAUCGGAUUGUGUCUAACUUGUUUCACAUCAUCUUUUAUCACGAUCACUGCAUUUAAAUUUUGCUUUUUAUCCCCUUCUCUCAAAUAUUGUUGGUUACGUCAUUCCGCUAAAAAUAACAACAUGCCCUGAAAUUAUCCGCUGUAGUGAAUAACUGUUUGGAAUGACUUUUACACCAUUGUUACAUUGGAUCACUUGUUUAUAUAAAUAUUUGAUAAAUAAAGCAAUUUGUAGUAUUUGUAACCUGCAACUGUACAAACAUAUACACUUCUGUAAUAAGGAAAAUAAAGAUAUUUUCCGAUUGUUCAAAUUAAUAUCUGAGGUACAUGAAUUUUUUGAUUAUUUGAAUGGUUACCUUACAAUUUUUUCUCUUAAAUUUGUUUGCACUUGCAUGUAGAAUGUAUAACCAAAAUAAUAAAAUCAUUUCAAAAU